rnacentral:rRNA from 1 species
UGAGCGGCGGACGGGUUUAGUAACGCGUGGGAACGUACCCAGAUCUAAGGAAUAGCCACUGGAAACGGUGAGUAAUACCUUAUACGCCCUUCGGGGGAAAGAUUUAUCGGAUUUGGAUCGGCCCGCGUUAGAUUAGGUAGUUGGUGGGGUAAUGGCCUACCAAGCCUACGAUCUAUAGCUGGUUUUAGAGGAUGAUCAGCAACACUGGGACUGAGACACGGCCCAGACUCCUACGGGAGGCAGCAGUGGGGAAUCUUAGACAAUGGGCGCAAGCCUGAUCCAGCCAUGCCGCGUGAGUGAAGAAGGCCUUAGGGUCGUAAAGCUCUUUCGCCUGUGAUGAUAAUGACAGUAGCAGGUAAAGAAACCCCGGCUAACUCCGUGCCAGCAGCCGCGGUAAUACGGAGGGGGUUAGCGUUGUUCGGAAUUACUGGGCGUAAAGCGCGCGUAGGCGGAUUGGAAAGUUAGAGGUGAAAUCCCGGGGCUCAACCCCGGAACGGCCUUUAAAACUCCCAGUCUAGAGUUCGAGAGAGGUGAGUGGAAUUCCAAGUGUAGAGGUGUAAUUCGUAGAUAUUUGGAGGAACACCAGUGGCGAAGGCGGCUCACUGGCUCGAUACUGACGCUGAGGUGCGAAAGUGUGGGGAGCAAACAGGAUUAGAUACCCUGGUAG